rnacentral:misc_RNA from 1 species
UUCGGUGUCCUGUGUUGCUUACCUAUCGAAAGGAAUCCGACGGUUUGGUUGGUCCCUUUCCGCCCCAUGCCCUCGCGGGUUGUGGGGUGGACGUCAGGCAAGCCCCGUGUUCCCGGCACGCUUCGCCCAGUUGCGUGGCUGCCUCGGCCCACGGGGCGCAUUGCCCGUGCUCUCGGAUGCGGAAUGCUGUGCGCGGGCGUGGGGUCUUUUGGCUCCGUCGGCCCGAGCAACGCAUUUGUCAAUCGACACGAACGACUGUCGUGCCCGUCUUGAGCCCCCCGGCCGUAUGGCCCGUCGGGUCUCAUGCGGGCGUCGG